AACGAACGCUGGCGGCAUGCCUAACACAUGCAAGUCGAACGAUAACUUCGGGUCUUGUGGCGCACGGGGGCGUAACGCGGGGGAACCUGCCCUUAGGUACGGUAUAACUCAGCGAAGGGGGAGUUAAUACAGCAUAAUGUAUUCGGACCAAAGAUUUAUCGCUUUUGGAUGUGCCCGCGUUGGAUUAGCUAGUUGGUAGGGUAAAAGCCUAUCAAGGCGAGGAUCUAUAGCUGGUCUGAGAGGAUGAGCAGCCACACUGGGACUGAGAAACGGCCCAGACUCUUACGGGAGGCAGCAGUGGGGAAUAUAGGACAAUGGCGGAAGGGCUGAUCCAGCAAGGCCGCGAGAGUGAUGAAGGCCGUAGGGUUGUAAAGCGCUUUUGCCCGGGAUGAUAAUGACCGUACCGGGAGAAUAAGCGCCGGCUAACUCCGUG
rnacentral:rRNA from 1 species